rnacentral:rRNA from 1 species
CCUACGGGAGGCAGCAGUGAGGAAUAUUGGUCAAUGGACGAGAGUCUGAACCAGCCAAGUAGCGUGAAGGAUGACUGCCCUAUGGGUUGUAAACUUCUUUUAUAUGGGAAUAAAUUGUGCUACGUGUGGGAUUUUGUAUGUACCAUAUGAUUAAGGAUCGGCUAACUCCGUGCCAGAAGCCGCGGUAAUACGGAGGAUCCGAGCGUUAUCCGGAUUUAGUGGGGUUAAAGGGAGCGUAGGUGGAUUGUUAAGUCAGUUGUGAAAGUUUGCGGCGCAACCGUAAAAUUGCAGUUGAAACUGGCAGUCUUGAGUACAGUAGAGGUGGGCGGAAUUCGUGGUGUAGCGGUGAAAUGCUUAGAUAUCACGAAGAACUCCGAUUGCGAAGGCAGUUCACUGGACUGCAACUGACGCUGAGGCUCGAAAGUGUGGGUAUCAAACAGGAUUAGAUACCCCUGUAGUC